GUGUUCAUAUUUUCUCACUGGUUUGAGAUAGGUUCAAAAAUUUGAAACAAUUGAGUGAUCAUUGACCCGACCAAUCGGCGUUUUGAAGAAGAAAUCAUACAUUCUCCUUUUCAUAAAUAGCCACUUGCAUCUUAGCAUAGAAAUCGUGUCACGAGAUGUGCUCUGUAGCCCAAAAAUAAAAAGUUGGAGAAGUCCCCCGUCAAAAGGUUUCUACAAUUUGCCCAUGAACAGUCUGAGACGUGGGAAUAAAGAAUCCCAUAGUGACAAACCUUCUGUCUGUUAUUCUAAACCUGUAUUAAAGGCAUUCCUCCGCUGACAGCGUGCUAUGCUGUCUGUGCAUGAAAGACUUUUAGGAGUGCCUUAUCACAGCGUUAAAAGUGUCUUUGUUUAGAGAACCUGCCUCGUAAAUUUGUCCCGCCCUUGUUGUCCAAAAUGGUCCUGAACCUGUUUUCACUGACACCUUGUUUGCUCCAGCAGCUUAAAGUAACCAUUCCCACAUGUCAGAGUUAAAGUUUAGUAGGCACAGUCCUCUAAUGUGCCUGUAUGGGCAGGAAUGAACUAGCCAACAAGUUGCCUGUCUGCUACAGUGAGGGAACGCUUGAUGGGAGGGGAUAUCACAUUCCUUGUCGUUUUCACACACAGACGGAACAAGCACAAGAGGAAUGAAUGCUAUCUUAUCAGAGCGUGCACUCGAGGUGAUGCAUAGGCUGUGUUACACCAUGUGUGUCUGCAAUGACUCCUUUGUUUUCAUCUGCUUGCCGUUUGGGUCAGCAGGUUAAUGCUGCUGGGCUGUUGCUUUGAACAUGUGGAAUCUUCUGUUUAACGGUUUUAAAAAGUCGGAUGAGAGCCAGAGCCUUCAGUUAUCAAGCUCCUCUUUUGUGGAACCAGCUUCCACUUUCAGUCCAGGGGGCAGAUUCGGUCAGCUCUUUUAAGGUAAAGCUUAAAACUUUCCUCCUUGAUUCUGCUUAUAGUUAGGGCUGGCUCAGGUCAGCCCGAACCAGCCCUUAGUUAAGCUGCUAUAGGCUUAGACUGCCGGGGGACUUCUUAGGACACAACAAGCUCCUCUCUCACGCUCUCUUUCUACAAUAAUCCACAUUUUAUUAAUGCACAUGGCUAAUUCAUCUUAUUUAUAGCCGGCUGGUUUUUUUGUGCUUUCUCCCCUAGCAGGUCUCCGUAGAUCGUAGUUCCUUCUGGACCCUGGUCCUGACUCCUACCGUGGUGGUUCUAUCUGAUCGUAGUUGUCCCUGCAGUGGUCCUGUCGUGCGCCCAGCCUAGUCAGCCAGGUGCACGCGUAACAAAAAAGAUAAUUUUAGCAAAAUUGUCAAGUAGUAGUGAAAUCCUUUGUGAUCCUUUUCCACUUUUCUGGGACAAAAUAAGGCAAUAGAUUUGGAAAAGGCAUAGCUGCCCAGAGGUCUAGUUAGAGACUGACCAACUGCCUUAUGUGUUUUUUGCUGCUCUAAACGGUAGAUGAGGCCAUAACUGAUGACUUACUUGUCAUCAGAUUACUGUGGUUGCAAUGAAAGCCUAUAACCAAGUAGUGCUUGAUGGCACAUGAUUGAAAACAACUGGUCUAAACCAACUACCAACUAUGUCACCCACUUACAUUGUGCAUCAACUGUUUGUCUAACAGAGCUGACAAAAUUGUUUUGCUAAUCUUCCCACCCGCUUUGUUGGAGGUAGCAUGGCAAGCUGUUAUGUAGGAGAGUUUGCCACCCAAGAAGGCCCCAAUAUGCCAAAUGAGAUGCACACUGAGAGACAAAAUGUUGAUUGAGACAUUGAUUAUAAGAAUUAUUACUAGCAAUAUAUGAAAACUGACAUCAUGGUGACGACUUUAAUCUAUUGUAUAUUUUGAAAUCAACGACUAUUACUGGCGAGGAUUCUAAACCACAGUAAAAAUAUCGUACUGAGAGAUAGUGACAACAAGGGCGCAUAACUGUAAAGAUUAUGCUAUUUCAAGCAGUGCGUGGUAAUAAAAAGAUGUGAUAUGGCAGUUAUCGAAAUUGGAAAAAAAGGAAUCAUAUGAAGAGCUGAGGGAAACCUUCGCUUUUAGAUUAAAGCCCCCCAAUAGACAAGUUCCUUGAACCCGCCAUCACAAGAAGAAGAAACACGGAAAAGAGCUAUGCAGAGAUAACGAGAGACCAGAGAUGCACCAACACAACUUGUGCCCAAGACAUGAGCUACUCAGGACGCUGUGCAGCACCUCCUCCGCCUCCCUCAGGUUUCCGCCAGUGCCACUGAACAUUCAAUAGACUUUCGUAUAUUGGCCAGAGUCCGGGAGAGAGCGCUGAAGGGGGUUUAUCUCAACAGUCUUGGGGACGGAUGGAAUGAUGAGCUAGCCUUUUAGAGGCUGCCUAACACUAGUGGACCUUAUUGCUCUCACAAUCCAACUGGAUACUUGGAUGCGGCAGCGUCGGAGAGCCGAACUACAGGGUUCCAUCACCAGUUCAUUCACAGAGUGGCCGAUCCCCUCCAGCCAGAAGAAACUCCAGGAGUUCCUUGGCUUUGCAAAUUUCUACCGUUCAUUCGAAACUAUAGCCAGACGGCGUUGCCCCUAACUCGACUCACCUCCCCUACGGUGGAAUUUUCGUGGAUCCCCAAAGCCUGCCUGUAACGGAAUGGUUCACUUCAGCCCCCAUCCCCGCCCUGCCAGACGAAAGUCGCCAGUUUUUGGUCAAGUGGGACGCCUCCGACACCAGCGUAAAGGCAGUGUUAUCCCAACACUCAACCCCUGACUCUAAGCUCUGCCUGUGUGCUUUUUUCUACCGCCCCCUUUACCUGUACGUGCGUCACUGGCUCUGGAGGACUGAAGACAUUGGCUGGAGGGGUCAGUCCACACUUCCAUUGUGUGGACCGACCACCGAAAUCUUGAGCCUCACACAGACCUCGUGUUGGAUUACUACAACCGGUUCCUGUUCCCCACAUGCCCUGGUCGCACAUGGCACUGGACUUUGUCACAGGAUUUCCCUCGUUGGAUAACAAUACAGUUAUGCUGAUCCUUGUGGAAGACGAUUGCCAUCCCGUAUGUUCAGAGCAAUUUUCGCUGAUGUUCUACUUCGGGAACAAACAGCUAGCCGACCGCCGCAGCACACCCGUCCCCACAUACCUCCCCAGCCAACGUGUCUGGCUUUCCGCUAAGGACAUACCCCUGCGCACUGAAUCUAAGAAACUCUCUCCCAGAUACAUUGGUCCUUUCCCCAUUACUUCAAUUGUCAACCCACUCACAGUUAAAUUGUGAUUGCUCUUGCAAUCCCUGAGGAUCCACCAGUGUUCCAUGUGUCCCUUCUGAAGCCGUCAUCGACGUCGCCUGGAUGUCCGCCGGCAAGACAGGGGUCUAAUACCCUGUAGUUUGGUGUCCUCCGAGUCCCGCCCAUUGCCCCACCUUCCUCCGUUGCCGCAGCUGUGUCUCAUCUCCCGGCUCCGUGAUUUUUACACCCAAAUCAUUUUCCAUCCUGUGAGAUUCUGAAAUUAAUAUCCUGUUCUUUUUUGCUAAACUCCUGCCGUGCAGCGUCGAACCUCAGGUUUCACCUGGCCGAAGAAGUCUGCCAGCUUGUUCCUCGGAGAUCAGCUGUGCAACUCAUCAGCUCCUGUGUCGAGCCUGCCUGCCUGCCUGCCUGUCUGCCUUCUAGCCGCGGAAGCCCCAAGUCCACCUUCCGGGUAGAACCAGAGCAGAGCACACGGGAUUGCAUACAUCGUCACGUGACUGUUUCCUGCUGGCUUUUCUGGAACUCUCAACAUGACUUUUCAUGUUUGAUUCCUGUUACCUUUCCUCCGCCACAAACAAUAAAUUACCUGUUGGAUUAAAAAAGAGGGUUGUCCUGGGUCUGGGUCCGUAAACACAUCUUAACAGGCAGAGUCUGCAUUGGUGACGGAUGGCAGUGAGACGGGCAGUGGAAGCAGCAGACAGUGUGUCUAACCGAUCAGGCAGACAGGCAGUUAAGACCUGUGAUUGACAAGAGGUCUUGUGGCUCGCGCCUCUGCAUGCCACUCAUCCGCCACUUCCUGGGCCCUUUGUGUUUCAAACACACACACACACACACACACACACACGGAUACAUACACACGCACACACACCAUCUGCUGUGGUAAUUCACAGGCUGCGUGCCGGAGCAGCACACAGCCUCCUCUCUUACUUUGCUUUCUCCUAUUCAUCCCUCCUUUGCUCUUUUAUUCAGAGGGAGAAAGCCAGGCCAUUCAGAACUUUUGUUUGUACUAGCGCCACACACAUAUAUACAGACACACAAACCAAACUUAAAAAACAAUUAUUCCACUCCAAUCAGAGAACGGCAGUCUAGUUUUGUGAUGUCUUACAAUUAAUUAG
ensembl:lncRNA